rnacentral:rRNA from 1 species
UACGGAGGGUGCAAGCGUUAUCCGGAUUCACUGGGUUUAAAGGGUGCGUAGGCGGGUUGGUAAGUCCGUGGUGAAAUCUCUAAGCUUAACUUGGAAACUGCCAUGGAUACUAUUAGUCUUGAAUAUUGUGGAGGUUAGCGGAAUAUGUCAUGUAGCGGUGAAAUGCAUAGAUAUGACAUAGAACACCAAUUGCGAAGGCAGCUGGCUACACAAAUAUUGACGCUGAUGCACGAAAGCGUGGGGAUCAAACAGG